AAAAGCGUUAAGGAUGAAUGGUGUGCACUAUGGAGUUCUCUGCCAUAUUUUUGAUGACUCCAUGUCAAUAGGUGACACUGUAGGACACUAGGUGUGGGACUGGGCCUUUGUCCAGAGGUGAAGGGGAGAAGGCUGCAGCGUGGACUCAAAGAGGAGAAACAAACAGCAAAGAAGCCUCUCCAAAAAUGCUUUACAAAACAAACAAGGGAGAAAAUGAAG